ACCUGGCUCACACCGGUUUAAACUCAGAUCAUGUAAAAUUUUAAAGGUCGAACAGACCUAAUCUAUUAGCUUCUACACCAACAAUUUAUUUUAAUCCAACAUCGAGGUCGCAAUCUUUUUUUUUGAUUAGAACUCUAUAAAAAAUUACGCUGUUAUCCCUAAGGUAAUUUUAUCUUAUAAUCUAGAUUCUAGGAUCCUACUAAACAUAAACAAAUGGUUAAAUACAAAAAAAGUUAAUUAAAUUUUUCCAUCACCCCAACAAAAUUUUUUUACUACUAAAAUUAUUUAUUUAAUCCUAAAUAUUAUUUUCAAUAAAAAAAUCAAACUCUAUAGGGUCUUCUCGUCUUCUAUAAUCAUUUAAGCUUUUUAACUUAAAAAUAAAAUUCUAAUUAAUUUCCAUAGAGACAGAAACUUUUUCAUCAAACCUUUCAUUCCAGCUUUCAAUUAAAAAACUAAUGAUUAUGCUACCUUUGCACGGUUAAAAUACCGCGGCCAUUCAACAUUUCAUUGGGCAGGCCAGACUUAAAAUUAUUAU
rnacentral:rRNA from 1 species